rnacentral:rRNA from 1 species
UACGGGGGGGGCAAGCGUUGUUCGGAAUUACUGGGCGUAAAGGGCUCGUAGGCGGCCAACUAAGUCAGACGUGAAAUCCCUCGGCUUAACCGGGGAACUGCGUCUGAUACUGGAUGGCUUGAAUCCGGGAGAGGGAUGCGGAAUUCCAGGUGUAGCGGUGAAAUGCGUAGAUAUCUGGAGGAACACCGGUGGCGAAGGCGGGUCUCUGGGCCGAUACUGACGCUGAGGAGCGAAAGCAUGGGUAGCGAACAGG